GACGAACGCUGGCGGCGUGCCUAAUACAUGCAAGUAGAACGCUGAAGAGAGGAGCUUGCUCUUCUUGGAUGAGUUGCGAACGGGUGAGUAACGCGUAGGUAACCUGCCUUGUAGCGGGGGAUAACUAUUGGAAACGAUAGCUAAUACCGCAUAACAAUGGAUGACACAUGUCAUUUAUUUGAAAGGGGCAAUUGCUCCACUACAAGAUGGACCUGCGUUGUAUUAGCUAGUAGGUGAGGUAACGGCUCACCUAGGCGACGAUACAUAGCCGACCUGAGAGGGUGAUCGGCCACACUGGGACUGAGACACGGCCCAGACUCCUACGGGAGGCAGCAGUAGGGAAUCUUCGGCAAUGGGGGCAACCCUGACCGAGCAACGCCGCGUGAGUGAAGAAGGUUUUCGGAUCGUAAAGCUCUGUUGUAAGUCAAGAACGAGUGUGAGAGUGGAAAAUUCACACUGUGACGGUAGCUUACCAGAAAGGGACGGCUAACUACGUGCCAGCAGCCGCGGUAAUACGUAGGUCCCGAGCGUUGUCCGGAUUUAUUGGGCGUAAAGCGAGCGCAGGCGGUUUGAUAAGUCUGAAGUUAAAGGCUGUGGCUCAACCGUAGUUCGCUUUGGAAACUGUCAAACUUGAGUGCAGAAGGGGAGAGUGGAAUUCCAUGUGUAGCGGUGAAAUGCGUAGAUAUAUGGAGGAACACCGGUGGCGAAAGCGGCUCUCUGGUCUGUAACUGACGCUGAGGCUCGAAAGCGUGGGGAGCGAACAGGAUUAGAUACCCUGGUAGUCCACGCCGUAAACGAUGAGUGCUAGGUGUUGGAUCCUUUCCGGGAUUCAGUGCCGCAGCUAACGCAUUAAGCACUCCGCCUGGGGAGUACGACCGCAAGGUUGAAACUCAAAGGAAUUGACGGGGGCCCGCACAAGCGGUGGAGCAUGUGGUUUAAUUCGAAGCAACGCGAAGAACCUUACCAGGUCUUGACAUCCCGAUGCUAUUUCUAGAGAUAGAAAGUUACUUCGGUACAUCGGUGACAGGUGGUGCAUGGUUGUCGUCAGCUCGUGUCGUGAGAUGUUGGGUUAAGUCCCGCAACGAGCGCAACCCCUAUUGUUAGUUGCCAUCAUUCAGUUGGGCACUCUAGCGAGACUGCCGGUAAUAAACCGGAGGAAGGUGGGGAUGACGUCAAAUCAUCAUGCCCCUUAUGACCUGGGCUACACACGUGCUACAAUGGUUGGUACAACGAGUUGCGAGUCGGUGACGGCAAGCUAAUCUCUUAAAGCCAAUCUCAGUUCGGAUUGUAGGCUGCAACUCGCCUACAUGAAGUCGGAAUCGCUAGUAAUCGCGGAUCAGCACGCCGCGGUGAAUACGUUCCCGGGCCU
rnacentral:rRNA from 1 species